rnacentral:tRNA from 1 species
UGAGGGUUAGUUUAUAUAAAACAUUUUUUUGUCAAGAAAAAGAAGUAAAAUAAUUACACCCUUAA